GUGCUUGCUUCAGUAGUACAUAUAGUAAAAUUGGAACGGUACAAAGAAGAUUAGCAUGACCCUUGCGCAAGGGUGACCCACAAAUUUGUGAAGCAUUCCAUAUUUGU